GUGGGGAAUAUUGGACAAUGGGCGCAAGCCUGAUCCAGCAAUGCCGCGUGUGUGAAGAAGGUCUUCGGAUCGUAAAGCACUUUCGACGGGGACGAUGAUGACGGUACCCGUAGAAGAAGCCCCGGCUAACUUCGUGCCAGCAGCCGCGGUAAUACGAAGGGGGCUAGCGUUGCUCGGAAUUACUGGGCGUAAAGGGCGCGUAGGCGGCUCUGUGAGUCAGGCGUGAAAUUCCUGGGCUUAACCUGGGGACUGCGCUUGAUACUGCAGGGCUUGAGGCCGAGAGAGGGUGGUGGAAAUCCCAGUGUAGAGGUGAAAUUCGUAGAUAUUGGGAAGAACACCGGUGGCGAAGGCGACCACCUGGCUCGGUACUGACGCUGAGGCGCGACAGCGUGGGGAGCAAACAGGAUUAGAAACCCCGGUAGUCC
rnacentral:rRNA from 1 species